rnacentral:rRNA from 1 species
UACGGGGGGGGCAAGCGUUGUUCGGAAUUACUGGGCGUAAAGGGCGCGUAGGCGGCCUGCUAAGUCGGACGUGAAAUCCCCCGGCUCAACCGGGGAACUGCGUCCGAUACUGGUGGGCUCGAAUCCGGGAGAGGGAUGUGGAAUUCCAGGUGUAGCGGUGAAAUGCGUAGAUAUCUGGAGGAACACCGGUGGCGAAGGCGGCAUCCUGGACCGGUAUUGACGCUGAGGCGCGAAAGCCAGGGGAGGCAAACGGG